GUGCUUACUCUAGCAUCACAUAUAAUAACAUUGGAACUAUACCGAGAUGAACAUGGACCCAGCAGCACAAAGAUGACAUAAAUUUGUGAAGCAUUCCAUAUUUUC
ensembl:snRNA U6 U6 spliceosomal RNA